GAUGAACGCUGGCGGCGUGCCUAAUACAUGCAAGUCGAACGGAGGAGUUGCUUUCGGGUGACUUCUUAGUGGCGAACGGGUGAGUAACGCGUUGGUGACCUGCCCCGAAGAACGGAAUAGCAGUUCGAAAGGACUGAUAAUACCGUAUGAAGUCGUGAGGAUUAGAAGCCUCACGAAAAAAGGAGAAAUCCGCUUUGGGAGGGGCCUGCGUCCCAUCAGCUAGUUGGUAAGGUAAAAGCUUACCAAGGCGAUGACGGGUAGGGGACCUGAGAGGGUGGCCCCCCACACUGGAACUGAAACACGGUCCAGACACCUACGGGAGGCAG
rnacentral:rRNA from 1 species